rnacentral:snoRNA from 1 species
UUGCACUAGGAUGCAAAAGAAAGAAAUCCCUGCGCUUUCUGUCUGUCUUUGUGGCGGCCCAGAUUGAAUUGGGGAAUACAUCU